UGAGUAAGCAAAACGAUCGAUAGAUAAUUCGAUUUAUCUGUAGGAAAGUCCGAACACCAUAGAGCAUGGUGCUUCAUAACAUGAAGUCGUGGUAACGCGAAGGAAAGUGCAACAGAAAACAUACCGCCUUAACAACAGGCAAACAUCCUGUAAAUUCAAGGUAAGGGUGAAAUAGUGCGGUAAGAGCGCACUAGUUCUUCAGGUGACUGGAGAGCUUGGUAAACCCCACCAGGUGCAAGACCAAAUAGAGAAACGUUUGAAGACUGCUCGUCUGAGUUUCCGGGUAGGUCGCAUGAAAUACGAGGUAACUCGUAUUCAAGAUGAAUGAUCGUUAUUUUUUCAUAUGGAACCAUGUGAAAAAAAACAGAAUUCGGCUUAUUGCUUACUCAAGCC
rnacentral:RNase_P_RNA from 1 species